UCCUGCCGGACCUGACUGCUAUCGGAUUGAUACUAAGCCAUGCGAGUCUUUGUAGUAAUACAAGGCAGACGGCUCAGUAACACGUAGUCAACCUACCCUAUGGACGAGAAUAAUCUCGGGAAACUGAGCAUAAUUCUUGAUAGAUCAUAAUGCCUGGAAUGGUUUAUGGUUAAAAUGAUUCGUCGCCAUAGGAUGGGACUGCGGCCUAUCAGCUUGUUGGUGAGGUAAUGGCCCACCAAGGCGAUUACAGGUACGGGCUCUGAGAGGAGAAGCCCGGAGAUGGGUACUGAGACACGGACCCAGGCCCUAUGGGGCGCAGCAGGCGAGAAAACUUUGCAAUGUGCGAAAGCACGACAAGGUUAAUCCGAGUGAUUUCUGCUAAAGAAAUCUUUUGCCAGUCGUAAAACCGCUGGUGAAUAAGGGGUGGGCAAGUUCUGGUGUCAGCCGCCGCGGUAAAACCAGCACCUCAAGUGGUCAGGAUGAUUAUUGGGCCUAAAGCAUCCGUAGCCGGCUUUGUAAGUUUUCGGUUAAAUCCAUGUGCUCAACGCAUGGGCUGCCGAAAAUACUGCAUAGCUAGGGAGUGGGAGAGGUAGACGGUACUCAGUAGGUAGGGGUAAAAUCCUUUGAUCUAUUGAUGACCACCUGUGGCGAAGGCGGUCUACCAGAACACGUUCGACGGUGAGGGAUGAAAGCUGGGGGAGCAAACCGGAUUAGAUACCCGGGUAGUCCCAGCUGUAAACGAUGCAGACUAGAUGAUGCAUUGGCAUAAUAGCCAUUGCAGUGUCUCAGGGAAGCCGUUAAGUCUGCCGCCUGGGAAGUACGUACGCAAGUAUGAAACUUAAAGGAAUUGGCGGGGGAGCACCACAAGGGGUGAAGCCUGCGGUUCAAU
rnacentral:rRNA from 1 species